rnacentral:lncRNA from 1 species
CGGGGCGCGCAGUGUGGCAGCGGCCGCGAAGAUUGGCGCUAUCAGGAGGAGCGAAAGGGAAGGAUCUGCUGCUGGGGGCUCCCUGGGUGAUCCUUUGCCAGGCGAAAGAGCUGGUGGUAACUAGUCGAGAGAGAAGCGCUUGGCAGGAGCUCUCUGCGGGACUUGAGCUCCCUGGCUGCUCGGGAUCCCUACGUCCGCGGCUGCGGAAGGACCAGACGGGAGGACGCCAGCAGUUGCUUACUGGAGCCUGGAGGGAAGGGGUCUGCAAACUCUUCUGUAAAGGGACAGAGAGGAAGUAUAUUAAGCUUUGCAGGCCAUAUGAUCGCUUUACCAACUACUCAACUGCAACAUUAAAGCAGCAACAGCACAGGAGACCCCCUCUCAUAUAUCAGACCUUCUUCAGAAAGCCUCAAUCCAUUUCCUUGAUUCCACUAAAUCAAGCAUAA